AUAUCAAUAAGCGGAGGAAAAGAAACCAAUUGGGAUUACCUUAGUAACGGCGAGUGAAGCGGUAAAAGCUCAAAUUUGAAAUCUGGUACUUUCAGUGCCCGAGUUGUAAUUUGUAGAAUUUGUCUUUGAUUAGGUCCUUGUCUAUGUUCCUUGGAACAGGACGUCAUAGAGGGUGAGAAUCCCGUUUGGCGAGGAUACCUUUUCUCUGUAAGACUUUUUCGAAGAGUCGAGUUGUUUGGGAAUGCAGCUCAAAGUGGGUGGUAAAUUCCAUCUAAAGCUAAAUAUUGGCGAGAGACCGAUAGCGAACAAGUACAGUGAUGGAAAGAUGAAAAGAACUUUGAAAAGAGAGUGAAAAAGUACGUGAAAUUGUUGAAAGGGAAGGGCAUUUGAUCAGACAUGGUGUUUUUUGCAUGCACUCGCCUCUCGUGGGCUUGGGCCUCUCAAAAAUUUCACUGGGCCAACAUCAAUUCUGGCAGUAGGAUAAAUCAUUAAGAAUGUAGCUACCUCGGUAGUGUUAUAGCUUAUUGGAAUACUGCUAGCUGGGAUUGAGGACUGCGCUUCGGCAAGGAUGUUGGCAUAAUGGUU
rnacentral:rRNA from 1 species